GAGAAAUACCCAAGCGGUUGAAGGGGUCGGUCUUGAAAACCGAUAGUGGCGAGUAACCAGCGAGGGUUCGAAUCCCUCUUUCUCC
rnacentral:tRNA from 1 species